UACGUAGGAGGCAAGCGUUGUCCGGAAUUACUGGGUGUAAAGCGCGUGUAGGUGGGAGGCCAAGUCUGUGGUGAAGCGCCCGCUCAACUGGCAGAGUCCAUGGAAACUGGUCACCUGGAGGACGGUAGAGGCGAGUGGAAUUCCCGGUGUAGUGGUGAAAUGCGUAGAGAUCGGGAGGAACACCGGUGGCGAAGGCGGCGACCUGGGUAGAUACUGACGCUGAGGUGCGAAAGCGUGGGGAGCAACAGG
rnacentral:rRNA from 1 species